UACGUAGGGGGCUAGCGUUGUCCGGAAUCAUUGGGCGUAAAGAGCGUGUAGGCGGCCCGGUAAGUCCGCUGUGAAAGUCGGGGGCUCAACCCUCGAAAGCCGGUGGAUACUGUCGGGCUAGAGUGCGGAAGAGGCGAGUGGAAUUCCUGGUGUAGCGGUGAAAUGCGUAGAUAUCAGGAAGAACACCAAUGGCGAAAGCAGCUCUCUGGGCCGGUACUGACGCUGAGACGCGAAAGCGUGGGGAGCGAACAGG
rnacentral:rRNA from 1 species